AGUGAACGCUGGCGGUAGGCCUAACACAUGCAAGUCGAACGGCAGCACAGUAAGAGCUUGCUCUUACGGGUGGCGAGUGGCGGACGGGUGAGGAAUACAUCGGAAUCUACUUUUUCGUGGGGGAUAACGUAGGGAAACUUACGUUAAUACCGCAUACGACCUACGGGUGAAAGCAGGGGAUCUUCGGACCUUGCGCGAUUGAAUGAGCCGAUGUCGGAUUGGCUAGUUGGCGGGGUAAAGGCCCACCAAGGCGACGAUCCGUAGCUGGUCUGAGAGGAUGAUCAGCCACACUGGAACUGAGACACGGUCCAGACUCCUACGGGAGGCAGCAGUGGGGAAUAUUGGACAAUGGGCGCAAGCCUGAUCCAGCCAUACCGCGUGGGUGAAGAAGGCCUUCGGGUUGUAAAGCCCUUUUGUUGGGAAAGAAAAGCAGCAGGUUAAUACCCCGCUGUUCUGACGGUACCCAAAGAAUAAGCACCGGCUAACUUCGUG
rnacentral:rRNA from 1 species